CUCGGUAUGAUCAUUCUUUCAUCAGUUUGUUCCCUGUUUCUUCUCUAGCCUGAGCCUGACACACUAUUCUAGCUAGACAUGGGUGUGGCUCGUGACACCUGAUGACCAAAUGGAUCUACGGCACCGUCGAAUCUCAAACUUUAACUGCCAAAACUAUUGUUUUUCAUCCUGUAGUCCCUUUUAGAAUUACGAAACGUCCUUUUUUGGGCCAUGAUUUCCAGGAAUGCUUUCUCGGGGUUUGUGUGCACGUAUUUCAAACCAUACGGACCUAAAAAUUAGAAGUCAUUCCAUCUUUAUUCCCCUAGAGCCUUCCGGCAGUUCCUAAACUGCUCUAUUUGGAGCAUGUUAUCAUUCUUGUUAGUUCUGAGUGAAUUCCCUCGGUAUGAUCAUUCUUUCAUCAGUUUGUUCCCCGUUUCUUCUCUAGUCUGAGCCUAGCACACUAUUCUAGCUAUUAAUGGGUGUGGAUCGUAACACCUGAUGAGCAAACGGAUCUACGGCACCAUCGAAUCUCAAACUUUAACUGCCAAAACUAUUGUUUUUCAUUCUGUAGUCCCUUUUCGAAUUAUUAAACGUCCUUUUUUGGGCCGAGAUUUCCAGGAACGCUUUCUCGGGGUUUGUGUGCAUGUAUUUCAAAUCAUACGGACCUAAAAAUUAGAAGGCAUUCCAUCUUUAUUCCCCUAGAGACUUCCAGCAGUUCCUAAACCGCUCCAGUCGGAGCAUGUUAUCAUUCUUGUUAGUUCUGAGCGAAUUCCCUCGGUAUGAUCAUUCUAUCAUCUGUUUGUUCCCUGUUUCUUCGCUAGCCUAAGCCUGACACACUAUUCUAGGUAGACAUGGGUGUGGCUCGUGACACCUAAUGACCAAACGGAUCUACGGCACCCUCGAAUCUCAAACUUUAACUACCAAAACUAUUGUUUUUCAUUCUGUAGUCCCUUUUAGAUUACUAAACAUCCUUUUUUGGGCUGAGAUUUCCAGGAACGCUUUCUCGGGGUUUGUGUGCAUGUAUUUCAAACCAAACGUUCCUAAAAUUAGAAGUCAUUCCAUCUUAAUUCCCCUAGAGCCUUCUAGCAAUUCCUAAACAGCUCUAGUCGGAGCAUGUUAUCAUUCUUGUUAAUUCUGAGCGAAUUCCCUCCGUAUGAUCAUUCUUUCAUCAGUUUGUUCUCCGUUUCUGCUCUAGUCUGAGCCUAGCACACUAUUCUAGCUAUUAAUGGGUGUGGAUCGUAACACCUAAUGACCAAACGGAUCUACGACACCAUCGAAUCUCAAACUUUAACUGCCAAAACUAUUGUUUUUCAUCCUGUAGUCCCUUUUCGAAUUAUUAAACGUCCUUUUUUGGGCCGAGAUUUCCAGGAACGCUUUCUCGGGGUUUGUGUGGAUGUAUUUCAAAUCAUACGGACCUAAAAAUUAGAAGGCAUUCCAUCUUUAUUCCCCUAGAGCCUUCCAGCAGUUCCUANNNNNNNNNNNNNNNNNNNNNNNNNNNNNNNNNNNNNNNNNNNNNNNNNNNNNNNNNNNNNNNNNNNNNNNNNNNNNNNNNNNNNNNNNNNNNNNNNNNNNNNNUCGCUAGCCUAAGCCUGACACACUAUUCUAGCUACACAUGGGUGUGGCUCGUGACACCUAAUGACCAAACAGAUCUACGGCACCGUCGAAUCUCAAACUUUAACUACCAAAACUAUUGUUUUUCAUUCUGUAGUCCCUUUUAAAUUACUAAACGUCAUUUUUUGGGCCGAGAUUUCUAGGAACGCUUUCUCGGGGUUUGUGUGCAUGUAUUUCAAGUCAUAUGGACCUAAAAAUUAGAAUCCAUUCCAUCUUUAUUCCCCUAGAGCCUUCCAGCAGUUCCUAAACUGCUCCAGUCGGAGCACAUUAUCAUUAUUGUUAGUUCUGACUGAAUUCCCUCGGUAUGAUCAUUCUUUCAUCAGUUUGUUCCCCGUUUCUGCUCUACUCUGAGCUUAACACACUAUUCUAGCUAGGCAUGGGUGUGGCUCGUAACACCUGAUGACCAAACGGAUCUACGAUACCGUCGAAUCUCAAACUUUGACUACGAAAACUAUUGUUUUUCAUUCUAUAGUCCCUUUUAGAAUUACUAAACGUCCUUUUUUGGGCCGAGAUUUCCAGGAACGCUUUCUCGGGGUUUGUGUGCACGUAUUUCAAACAAUACGGACCUAAAAAUUAGAAUUCAUUCCAUCUUUAUUCCCCUAGAGCCUUCCAGCAGUUCCUAAACCGCUCUAGUCGGAGCACUUUAUCAUUCUUGUUAGUUCUCAGCGAAUUCCCUCGGUAUGAUCAUUCUUUCAUCAGUUUGUUCCCCAUUUCUUCUCUAGCCUGAGCCUAACACACUAUUCUAGCUACACAUGGGUGUGGCUCGUCACACCCGAUGACCAAACGGAUCUACGGCACCGUCGAAUCUCAAACUUUAACUGCCAAAACUAUUGUUUUUCAUCCUGUAGUCCCUUUUAGAAUUACUAAACGUCCUUUUUUGGGUAGAUAUUUCUAGGAACGCUUUAUCGGGGUUUGUGUGCACGUAUUUCAGACCAUACGGACCUAAAAAUUAGAAGUCAUUCCAUCUUUAUUCCCCUAUAGCCUUCCAGCAGUUCCUAAACCGCUCCAGUCGGAGCCCGUUAUCAUUCUUGUUAGUUUUGAGCGAAUUCCCUCGGUAUGAUCAUUCUUUCAUCAGUUUGUUCCCCGUUUCUUCUCUAGUCUAAGCCUAGCACACUAGUUUAGCUAGACAUGGGUGUGGCUCGUAACACCUGAUGGCCAAACGGAUCUACGGCACCGUGAAAUCUCAAACUUUAACUGCCAAAACUAUUGUUUUUCAUCCUGUAGUCCCUUUUAGAAUUACUAAACGUCCUUUUUUGGGCUGAGAUUUCCAGGAACACUUUCUCGGGGUUUGUGUGCAUGUAUUUCAAACCAUAUGGACCUAAAAAUUAGAAGUCAUUCCAUCUUUAUUCCCCUAGAGCCUUCCAACAGUCCCUAAACCGCUCCAGUCCGAGCAUGUUAUCAUUCUUGUUAGUUCUGAGUGAAUUCCCUCGGUAUGAUCAUUCUUUCAUCAGUUUGUUCCCCAUUUCUUCUCUAGUCUGAGCCUAGCUCACUAUUCUAGCUAGACAUGGGUGUGGCUCAUAAUACCUGAUGACCAAACGGAUCUACGGCACCAUCGAAUCUCAAACUUUAACUGCCAAAACAAUUGUUUUUCAUCCUGUAGUCCCUUUUAGAAUUACUAAACGUCCUUUUUUGGGCCGAGAUUUCCAGGAACGCUUUCUCGGGGUUUGUGUGCACGUAUUUCAAACCAAGCGUUCUUAAAAAUUAGAAGUCAUUCCAUCUUUAUUCCCCUAGAGCCUUACAGCAGUUCCUAAACUGCUCCAGUCGGCGCACGUUAUCAUUCUUGUUAGUUCUGAGCGAAUUCCCUCGGUAUGAUCAUUCUUUCAUCAGUUUGUUCCCCGUUUCUUCUCUAGUUUGAGCCUAGCACACUAUUCUAGCUAGACAUGGGUGUGGGUCAUAACACCUGAUGACCAAACAGAUCGACGACACCAUCGAAUCUCAAACUUUAACUGCCAAAACUAUUGUUUUUCAUCCUGUAGUCCCUUUUAGAAUUACUAAACGUCCUUUUUUGGGUCGAGAUUUCCAAGAAAGCUUUCUCGGGCUUUGUGUGCACGUAUUUCAAACCAAAAAUUUCUAAAAAUUAGAAGUCAUUCCAUCUUUAUUCCCCUAGAGCCUUCCAGCAGUUCCUAAACAGCUCCAGUCGGAGCACGUUAUCAUUCUUGUUAGUUCUGAGCGAAUUCCCUCGGUAUGAUCAUUCUUUCAUCAGUUUGUUCCCCGUUUCUUCUAUAGUCUGAGCCUAUCACACUAUUCUAGCUAGACAUGGGUGUGGCUCGUAACACCUGAUGACCAAACGGAUCUACGGCACCAUCGAAUCUAAAACUUUAACUGCCAAAACUAUUGUUUUUCAUCCUGUAGUCCCUUUAGAACUACUAAAUGUCCUUUUUUGGGCCAAGAUUUCCAGGAACGCUUUCUCGGGGUUUGUGUGCAUGUAUUUCAAACCAUACGGACCUAAAAAUUAGGUCAUUCCAUCUUUAUUCCCCUAGAGCCUUCCAGCAGUUCCUAAACCGCUCCAGUCGGAGCAUGUUAUCAUUCUUGUUUGUUCUGAGUGAAUUCCCUCAGUAUGAUCAUUCUUUCAUCAUUUUGUUCCCCGUUUCUUCUCUAGUCUGAGCCUAGCACACUAUUCUAGCUAGACAUGGGUGUGGCUCGUAACACCUGACCAAACGGAUCUACGGCACCGUCGAAUCUCAAACUUUAACUGCCAAAACUAUUGUUUUUCAUCCUGUAGUCCCUUUUAAAUUUAAUAAACGUCCUUUUUUGGGCUGAGAUUUCCAGGAACGCUUUCGUGCGGUUUGUGUGCAAGUAUUUCAAAUCAUACAGACCUAUAAAUUAGAAGUCAUUUCAUCUUUAUUCCCCUAGAGCCUUCGAGCGGUUCCUAAACCGCUCAAGUCGGAGCAUGUUAUCAUUCUUGUUAGUUCUGAGUGAAUUCCCUCGGUAUGAUCAUUCUUUCAUCAGUUUGUUCCCCGUUCCUUCUCUAGUCUGAGCCUAGCACACUACUCUAGCUAGACAUGGGUUUGGCUCGUAACACCUGAUAACCAAACGGGUCUACGACACCAUCGAAUCUCAAACUUUUUUGGGCCAAGAUUUGCAGGAACGCUUUCUCGGGGUUUGUGUGCACGUAUUUCAAAUCAUGCGGACCUAAAAAUUAGAAGUCAUUCCAUAUUUGUUCCCCUAGAGCCUUCCAGCAGUUCCUAAACCGCUCCAGUUGGACCACGUUAUCAUUCUUGUUAGUUCUGAGUGAAUUACCUCGGUAUGAUCAUUCUUUCAUAAGUUUGUUCCCCGUUUCUUCUAUAGUCUGAGCCUAGCACACUACUCUAGCUAGACAUGGGAGUGGCUCGUAACACCUGAUGACCAAACAGAUCUAUGGCACCGUCGAAUCUCAAACUUUAACUGCCAAAACUAUUGUUUUUCAUCCUGUAGUCCCUUUUAGAAUUACUAAACGUCAUUUUUUGGGCUGAGAUUUCCAGGAACGCUUUCGCGGGGUUUGUGUGCACGUAUUUCAAACCAUAGGGACCUAAAAAUUAGAAGUCAUUCCAUCUUUAUUCCCCUAGAGCCUAACACACUAUUCUAGCUAGACAUGGGUGUGGCUCGUAACACCUGAUGACAAAACGGAUCUACGGCACCAUCGAAUCUCAAACUUUAACUGCCAAAAUUAUUGUAUUUCAUCCUGUAGUCCCUUUUAGAAUUAUUAAACGUCCUUUUUUUGGGCUGUGAUUUCCAUGAACGCUUUCUCGGGGUUUCUGUGCACGUAUUUCAAAUCAUACGGACCUAAAAAUUAGAAGUCAUUCCAUCUUUAUUCCCCUAGAGCCUUCCAACAGUUCCUAAACCGCUCCAGUCGGAGCACAUUAUCAUUCUUGUUAGUUCUGAGUGAAUUCCCAUGGUAUGAUCAUUCUUUCAUUAGUUUGUUCCCCGUUUCUUCUCUAGUCUGAGCCUACCACACUAUUCUAGCUAGACAUGGGUGUGGCUCAUAACACCUUAUGACCAAACGGAUCUACGGCACCAUCGAAUCUCAAACUUUAACCGCCAAAACUAUUGUUUUUCAUCAUGUAGUCCCUUUUAGAAUUACUAAACGUCCUUCUUUGGGCAGAGAUUUCCAGGAAUGCUUUAUCGGGGUUUGUGUGCACGUAUUUCAGACCAUACGGACCUAAAAAUUAGAAGUCAUUCCAUCUUUAUUCCCCUAGAGCCUUCCAAUAGUUCCUGAACCGCUCCAGUCGGAGCAUGUUAUCAUUCUUGUUAGUUCUGAGCGAAUUCCCUCGGUAUGAUCAUUCUUUCAUCAGUUUGUUUCCCGUUUCUUCUCUAGUCUGAGCCUAGCACACUACUCUAGCUAGACAUUGGUGUGGCUCGUAACACCUGAUGACCAAACGGAUCUACGGCACUGUCAAAUCUCAAACUUUAACUGCCAAAACUAUUGUUUUUCAUCCUGUAGUCCCUUUUAGAAUUACUAAACGUCCUUUUUUGGGCCGAUAUUUCCAGGAACGCUUUCUUGGGGUUUGUGUGCAUGUAUUUCAAACCAUAUGGAACUAAAAAUUACAAGUCAUUCCAUCUUUAUUCCCCUAGAGCCUUCCAGCAGUUCCUAAACCGCUCCAAUCGGAGCAUGUUAUCAUUCUUGUUAAUUCUGAGUGAAUUCCCUUGGUAUGAUCAUUCUUUCAUCAGUUUGUUCCCGAUUUCUUCUCCAGUCUGAGCCUAGCUCACUAUUCUAGCUAGACAUGGGUGUGGCUCAUAAUACCUGAUGACCAAACGGAUCUACGACACCAUCGAAUCUCAAACUUUAACUGCCAAAACUAUUGUUUUUCAUCUUGUAGUCCCUUUUAGAAUUACUAAACGUCCUUUUGUGGGCUGAGAUUUCCAGGAACGCUUUAUCGGGGUUUGUGUGCUCGUAUUUCAGACCAUACGGACCUAAAAAUUAGAACUCAUUCCAUCUUUAUUCCCCUAGAGCCUUCCAGCAGCUCCUAAACCGCUCCAGUCGAGCACGUUAUCAUUCUUGUUAGUUCUGAGCAAAUUCCCUCGUUAUGAUCAUUCUUUCAUCAGUUUGUUCCCCGUUUCUUCUCUGGUCUGAGCCUAGCACACUAUUCUAGCUAUUAAUGGGUGUGGAUCGUAACACUUGAUGAUCAAACAGAUCUACGGCACCAUCGAUUCUCAAACUUUAACUGCCAAAACUAUUGUUUUUCAUCCUGUAGUCCCUUUUAGAAUUAUUAAACGUCCUUUUUUGGGCCGAGAUUUCUAGGAACGCUGUCUCGGGGUUUGUGUGCACGUAUUUCUAAUCAUACGGACCUAAAAAUUAGAAGUCAUUCCAUAUUUAUUCCCCUAGAGCCUUCCAGCAGUUCCUAAACCGCUCAAGUCGGAGCACGUUAUCAUUCUUGUUAGUUCUUAGCGAAUUCCCUCGAUAUGAUCAUUCUUUCAUCAGUUUGUUCCCCGUUUCUUCUCUAGCCUGAGCCCGACACACUAUUCUAGCUAGACAUGGGUGUGGCUCGUAACACCUAAUGACCAAACGGAUCUACGGCACCGUUGAAUCUCAAACUUUAACAGCCAAAAUUAUUGUUUUUCAUUAUGUAGUCUCUUUUAAAUUACUAAACGUCAUUUUUUGAGCUGAGAUAUCCAGGAACGCUUUCUCGGGGUUUUUGUGCACGUAUUUCAAAUCAUACGGACCUGAAAAUUAGAAGUCAUUCCAUCUUUAUUCCCCUAGAGCCUUCCAGCAGUUCCUAAACCGCUCCAGUUGGACCACGUUAUCAUUCUUGUUAGUUCUGAGUGAAUUACCUUAGUAUGAUCAUUCUUUCAUCAGUUUGUUCCCUGUUUCUUCUAUAGUCUGAGCCUAGCACACUACUCUAGCUAGACAUGGGUGUGGCUCGUAACACCUGAUGACCAAACAGAUCUACGGCACCGUCGAAUCUCAAACUUUAACUGCCAAAACUAUUGUUUUUCAUCCUGUAGACCCUUUUAGAAUUACUAAACGUCCUUUUUUGGGCUGAGAUUUCCGGGAACGCUUUCACGGGGUUUGUGUGCACGUAUUUUAAACCAUAUGGACCUAAAAAUUAGAAGUCAUUCCAUCUUUAUUCCCAUAGAGCCUAACACACUAUUCUAGCUAGAUAUGGGUGUGGCUCGUAACACCUGAUGACCAAACGGAUCUACGGCACCAUCGAAUCUCAAACUUUAACUGCCAAAACUAUUGUAUUUCAUCAUGUAGUCCCUUUUAGAAUUAUUAAACGUCCUUUUUUAGGGCCGUGAUUUCCAUGAACGCUUUCUUGGGGUUUCUGUGCAUGUAUUUCAAAUCAUACGGACCUAAAAAUUAGAAGUCAUUCCAUCUUUAUUCCCCUAGAGCCUUCCAGCAGUUCCUAAACCGCUUCAGUCGGAGCACGUUAUCAUUCUUGUUAGUUCUGAGUGAAUUCCCUUGGUAUGAUCAUUCUUUCAUCAGUUUGUUCCCCGUUUCUUCUCUAGUCUGAGCCUAGCACACUAUUCUAGCUAGACAUGGGUGUGGCUCAUAACACCUCAUGACCAAACGGAUCUACGGCACCAUCGAAUCUCAAACUUUAACUGCCAAAACUAUUGUUUUUCAUCCUGUAGUCCCUUUUAGAAUUACUAAACGUCCUUUUUUGGGCAGAUAUUUCCAGGAACGCUUUAUCGGGGUUUGUGUGCUCGUAUUUCAGACCAUACGGACCUAAAAAUUAGAACUCAUUCCAUCUUUAUUCCCCUAUAGCCUUCCAGCAAUUCCGAAACCACUCUAUUCGGAGCACGUUAUCAUUCUUGUUAGUUCUAAAAGAAUUCCCUCGGUAUGAUCAUUCUUUCAUCAGUUUAUUUCCCGUUUCUUCUCUAGUCUAAGCCUAGCACACUAGUCUAGCUAGACAUGGGUGUGGCUCGUAACACCUGAUGACCAAACGGAUCUACGGCACCGUCAAAUCUCAAACUUUAACUGCCAAAACUAUUGUUUUUCAUCCUGUAGUCCCUUUAGAAUUACAAAAGGUCCUUUUUUGGGCCGAGAUUUCCAGGAACACUUUCUCGGGGGUUUGUGUGCAUGUAUUUCAAACCAUAUGGACCUAAAAAUUAGAAGUCAUUCCAUCUUUAUUCCCCUAGAGCCUUCCAGCAGUUCCUAAACCGCUCCAGUCGGAGCAUGUUAUCAUUCUUGUUAGUUCUGAGUGAAUUCCCUCGGUAUGAUCAUUCUUUCAUCAGUUUGUUCCCCAUUUCUUCUCUAGUCUGAGCCUAGCUCACUAUUCUAGCUAGACAUGGGUGUGGCUCGUAAUACCUGAUGACCAAAUGGAUCUACGGCACCAUCGAAUCUCAAACUUUUACUGCCAAAACUAUUGUUUUUCAUCCUGUAGUCCCUUUUAGAAUUACUAAACGUCCUUUUUUGGGCUGAGAUUUCCAGGAACGCUUUCUUGGGGUUUGUGUGCACGUAUUUCAAACCAAGCGUUCCUAAAAAUUAGAAGUCAUUCCAUCUUUAUUCCCCUAGAGCCUUACAGCAGUUCCUAAACUGCUCCAGUCGGCGCACGUUAUCAUUCUUGUUAGUUCUGAGUGAAUUCCCUCGGUAUGAUCAUUCUUUCAUCAGUUUGUUCCCCGUUUCUUCUCUAGUCUGAGCCUACCACACUAUUCUAGCUAGACAUGGGUGUGGCUCAUAACACCUUAUGACCAAACGGAUCUACGGCACCAUCGAAUCUCAAACUUUAACUGCCAAAACUAUUGUUUUUCAUCCUGUAGUCCCUUUUAGAAUUACUAAACGUCCUUUUUUGGGCAGAUAUUUCCAGGAAUGCUUUAUCGGGGUUUGUGUGCACGUAUUUCAGACCAUACGGACCUAAAAAUUAGAAGUCAUUCCAUCUUUAUUCCCCUAUAGCCUUCCACCAGUUCCUAAACCACUCCAGUCGGAGCACGUUAUCAUUCUUGUUAGUUCUGAGCGAAUUCCCUCGGUAUGAUCAUUCUUUCAUCAGUUUAUUCCCCGUUUCUUCUCUAGUCUAAGCCUAGCACACUAGUCUAGCUAGACAUGGGUGUGGCUCGUAACACCUGAUGACCAAACGGAUCUACGGCACCGUCAAAUCUCAAACUUUAACUGCCAAAACUAUUGUUUUUCAUCCUGUAGUCCCUUUUAGAAUAACUAAACGUCCUUUUUUGGGCCGAGAUUUCCGGGAACACUUUCUCGGGGUUUGUGUGCAUGUAUUUCAAACCAUAUGGACCUAAAAAUUAGAAGUCAUUCCAUCUUUAUUCCCCUAGAGCCUUCCAGCAGUUCCUAAACCGCUCCAGUCGGAGCAUGUUAUCAUUCUUGUUAGUUCUGAGUGAAUUCCCUCGGUACGAUCAUUCUUUCAUCAGUUUGUUCCCCGUUUCUUCUCUAGUCUGAGCCUAGCUCACUAUUCUAGCUAGACAUGGGUGUGGCUCAUAAUACCUGAUGACCAAACGGAUCUACGGCACUAUCGAAUCUCAAACUUUAACUGCCAAAACUAUUGUUUUUCAUCCUGUAGUCCCUUUUAGAAUUACUAAACGUCCUUUUUUGGGCCGAGAUUUCCAGGAACGCUUUCUUGGGGUUUGUGUGCAUGUAUUUCAAACCAAGCGUUCCUAAAAAUUAGAAGUCAUUCCAUCUUUAUUCCCCUAGAGCCUUACAGCAGUUCCUAAACUGCUCCAGUCGGCGCACGUUAUCAUUCUUGUUAGUUCUGAGCGAAUUCCCUCGGUAUGAUCAUUCUUUCAUCAGUUUGUUCCCCAUUUCUUCUCUAGUUUGAGCCUAGCACACUAUUCUAGCUAGACAUGGGUGUGGGUCAUAACACCUGAUGACCAAACAGAUCGACGACACCAUCGACUCUCAAACUUUAACUGCCAAAACUAUUGUUUUUCAUCCUGUAGUCCCUUUUAGAAUUACUAAACGUCCUUUUUUGGGCCGAGAUUUCCAAGAACGCUUUCUCGGGGUUUGUGUGCACGUAUUUCAAACCAAACAUUCCUAAAAAUUAGAAGUCAUUCCAUCUUUAUUCCCCUAGAGCCUUCCAGUAGUUCCUAAACAGCUCCAGUCGGAGGACGUUAUCAUUCUUGUUAGUUCUGAGUGAAUUCCCUCGGUAUGAUCAUUCUUUCAUCAGUUUGUUCCCUGUUUCUUCUCUAGUAUGAGCCUCGCACACUAUUCUAGCUAUUAAUGGGUGUGGAUCGUAACACCUGAUGACCAAACGGAUCUACGGCACCAUCGAAUAUCAAACUUUAACUGCCAAAACUAUUGUUUUUCAUUCUGUAGUCCCUUUUAAAUUACUAAAUGUCAUUUUUGGGCUGAGAUAUCCAGGAACGCUUUCUCGGGGUUUGUGUGCAUGUAUUUCAAAUCAUACGGACCUAAAAAUUAGAAGUCAUUCCAUCUUUAUUCCCCUAGAGCCUUCCAGCAGUUCCUAAACCACUCCAGUCGGAACACGUUGUCAUUAUUGUUAGUUCUGAGUGAAUUCCCUCGGUAUGAUCAUUCUUUCAUCAGUUUUUUCCCCGUUUCUUCUAUAGUCUGAGCCUAUCACACUAUUCUAGCUAGACAUGGGUGUGGCACGUAACACCUGAUGACCAAACGGAUCUACGGCACCGUCGAAUCUCAAACUUUAACUGCCAAAACUAUUGUUUUUCAUCCUGUUGUCCCUUUAGAAUUACUAAAUGUCCUUUUUUGGGCCGAGAUUUCCAGGAACGCUUUCUCGGGAUUUGUGUGCAUGUAUUUCAAACCAUACGGACCUACAAAUUAGGUCAUUCCAUCUUUAUUCCCCUAGAGCCUUCCAGCAGUUCCUAAACUGCUCCAGUCGGAGCACGUUAUCAUUCUUGUUUGUUCUCAGCGAAUUCCCUCGGUAUGAUCAUUCUUUCAUCAUUUUGUUCCCCGUUUCUUCUCUAGUCUAAGCCUAGCACACUAUUCUAGCUACACAUGGGUGUGGCUCGUAACACCUGAUGACCAAACGGAUCUACGGCACCGUCGAAUCUCAAACUUUAACUGCCAAAACUAUUGUUUUUCAACCUAUAGUCCCUUUUAAAUUUACUAAACGUCCUUUUUUGGGCUGAGAUUUCCAGGAACGCUUUCGUGCGGUUUGUGUGCAAGUAUUUGAAAUCAUACGGACCUAUAAAUUAGAAGUCAUUUCAUCUUUAUUCCCCUAGAGCCUUCGAGCGGUUCCUAAACCGCUCCAGUCGGAGCAUGUUAUCGUUCUUGUUAGUUCUGAGUGAAUUCCCUCGGUAUGAUCAUUCUUUCAUCAGUUUGUUCCCCAUUUCUUCUCUAGUCUGAGCCUAGCACACUACUCUAGCUAGACAUGGGUUUGGCUUGUAACACCUGAUAACCAAACGGGUCUACGACACCAUCGAAUCUCAAACUUUUUUGGGCCGAGAUUUCCAGGAACGCUUUCUCGGGGUUUGUGUGCACGUAUUUCAAAUCAUGCGGACCUAAAAAUUAGAAGUCAUUCCAUAUUUAUUCCCCUAGAGCCUUCCAGCAGUUCCCAAACCGCUCCAGUCGGAGCAUGUUAUCAUUCUUGUUAGUUCUGAGCGAGUUCCCUCGGUAUGAUCAUUCUUUCAUCAGUUUGUUCCCUGUUUCUUCUCUAGCCUGAGCCUGACACACUAUUAUAGCUAGACAUGGGUGUGGCUCGUGACACCUGAUGACCAAAUGGAUCUACGGCACCGUCGAAUCUCAAACUUUAACUGCCAAAACUAUUGUUUUUCAUCCUGUAGUCCCUUUUAGAAUUACGAAACGUCCUUUUUUGGGCCAUGAUUUCCAGGAAUGCUUUCUUGGGGUUUGUGUGCACGUAUUUCAAACCAUACGGACCUAAAAAUUAGAAGUCAUUCCAUCUUUAUUCCCCUAGAGCCUUCCAGCAGUUCCUAAACUGCUCUAUUUGGAGCAUGUUAUCAUUCUUGUUAGUUCUGAGUGAAUUCCCUCGGUAUGAUCAUUCUUUCAUCAGUUUGUUCCCCGUUUCUUCUCUAGUCUGAGCCUAGCACACUAUUCUAGCUAUUAAUGGGUGUGGAUCGUAACACCUGAUGAGCAAACGGAUCUACGGCACAAUCGAAUCUCAAACUUUAACUGCCAAAACUAUUGUUUUUCAUUCUGUAGUCCCUUUUCGAAUUAUUAAACGUCCUUUUUUGGGCCGAGAUUUCCAGG
rnacentral:lncRNA from 1 species